rnacentral:rRNA from 1 species
AUAUAUUAUAAUAAUUUAAUAUUAUAUUACACGAAUAUGUGCGAGCUAAAAAAAUUUAUAUAUUAGUAUAUAUAAUAGUUGUAACAAUAACUUCCAGAAAAUACUUUUAGGGGUGAAAGGCCUACCAAGCGCAUGGAUAACUUGAUAGGUAGGAAACAUACUUAGUAUUACGUCAAACCAACAAUGGUAAGGUUUUUGGUAGGUACUAAUGGUUAAGUUAUUUUACUUUACUGAUUAAAAUCUAAAAGUUUCCUUUUUAUAUUAUUAUCCUAAGUAAUGUUGUACCUAUUACUACCAAUUGAUAUUAGAUUCAAUAUAUUAUAUAUAAUGUAUAUAUUAGUAUUUAAUUAACUUUUUAUAAGGAACUCGGCAAAAAUUUUUUUCGACUGUUUACCAAAAACAUAGCCCUAAGUUAUUAUUUAGGGUUAGCCCUGCUCAAUGGAAUUCUAAAUAGCCGCAGUACCUUGACUGUGCAAAGGUAGCAUAAUAAGUUGGCUUAUAAUUGAAGUCUGGUAUGAAAGGGUUUACGGAAAUUUACUGUCUCAAAGAAAUUCUAGAAUUUACUUAUUAAGUGAAAAUUCUUAUAUAUAGAAAAUAGACGAGAAGACCCUAGAAAUUUUUUAGAGAUUUUUAAUUAAUAUUUUGUUGGGGCGACAAGGUAACAUUUAACUUACCAAUAGAAGUGGGAAAAUAUUUAUUUGAAUAACAAAAUUACUCUAGGGAUAACAGCAUUAUUUACAUAUAAGUUUGUGACCUCGAUGUUGGACUAGGACCUAUUUUACCUAAAAAGUAAAAUAUUUGGCUCUGUUCGAGCUUGGUUUCCUACAUGAUCUGAGUUCAGACCGG